rnacentral:lncRNA from 1 species
GAGCAUACGUACGAACACGAUUAAGGACUGACAGAAACAACCAACAAAUAGAAAAACAAAUUACAUUUAUGACUUUUCCAAUAAAAGAUCUUGAACAGUUCCGUUUUGAUUAAGACUUCCGUUUUGUUUAGCCACAGGUUUCGCACCCAACUUUUCCACAAACUCUUCAAGAUUCCGAUCCGACGAACCACCGCGAGCCACCGCCGCUUCCGCCUCCUCCUUCCAUUUCAAAGCAUUCUUUUUCAGCUCCGUCGCCUUCUCUCCUUUAGCAACUUCUCUCAGCCUCUCGGCCACUUCCUCCCUUGGCACCACCCUCUCCUCUGUCUCUCCACGGCCGAGUCUCACUCCCGUCUUUGUAACGUCUAUCAUGUAAACCGCGUCCGUGACUUGAUCUCCCCACUGAGGCAAACAAACCGUUGGGACACCACAACUUCCAAAGAUUCGAGACGUUAAUGAUACAUAUUGAUAAUCCUGGUUAUCUGAGAUUCUGAGUUUCAAAGUUUGUGAAUUGCGGAAAUUACUAGAAAUAUACAUGCAAAACCCAUAUUUGAUUCUAUUUGUUUUUUCGUUUUAAGAAUGUCUUGUAAUCUCCAAUCGGAUUAUUGAUAAACGUAUAUUAAUAGUACUAUAUAAUAAUAUAAUUACUGUAUACCAUUAACUCUUUUACUUUACUUACUACCUUUUUUUUUUUUGGUCAAAUACUUUACUUACUAGCUAGAUCAAUCUUUUAUGUCGGCUAAAGGGGAAUGAGUGCCGAAUAUUACUAGGUUUUAGCAAUUUUGGUUUUGCAUGGUACAGAACGUUCUAUACAAACUCUUUUCCUGAUUUAGCAACAAAACAAGAGAAUUAAUCAUAAUAUAACAUAAUACGCGAACUAAACAUUGUUCCAGAAGGAUAAUAAGUCUCCCUUAGACCCUUACAAGAAAACAAAAUACAAAGAACGACGAGGAGCAUACAUACGAACACAAUUAAGGACUGACAGAAACAACCAACAAAUAGAAAAACAAAUUACAUUUAUGACUUUUCCAAUAAAAGAUCUUGAACAGUUCCGUUUUGAUUAAGACUUCCGUUUUGUUUAGCCACAGGUUUCGCACCCAACUUUUCCACAAACUCUUCAAGAUUCCGAUCCGACGAACCACCGCGAGCCACCGCCGCUUCCGCCUCCUCCUUCCAUUUCAAAGCAUUCUUUUUCAGCUCCGUCGCCUUCUCU